rnacentral:sRNA from 1 species
UUAUCAAUUAUUUAUCUUAAAUAUCUAUUUACCAAUCAAACAAAUUCCGCAAAUUAUUUUCUUACCAAUCAAACAUUAUUCCGUACCGCUUAUGCUAUAAAAACCACACUUGUACCGCAAAUAUAUUUCUCCCGCAUGUACCGCAGUUGGACCGUACCGCAGUAUAAAUCCGCUUUUCCCGCACUGCCAAAUACGCUGUCACCAUUCGACCCUAAGGCCUUGAUUGGAGACAUAUAUAAGUGCGUAUUUGAAUAGCUUUUUUGGAAAACCUCAAUAUGUCACCAAUCACAGUUAUUUUGUUAAUUACGUUAUUUUUCAGA